AUUGAACGCUGGCGGCAGGCCUAACACAUGCAAGUCGAGCGAGCGGCGGACGGGUGAGUAAUGUAUGGGGAACUGCCUGAUGGCGGGGGAUCACUACUGGAAACGUUCGCUAAUACCGCAUACCAUCAGAUGAACCCCUAUGGGAUUAGCUUGUAGGUGGGGUAACGGCUCACCUAGGCGACGAUCCCUAGCUGGUCUUAGAGGAUGAUCAGCCACACUGGAACUGAGACACGGCCCAGACUCCGACGGGAGGCAGAAGUGGGGAAUAUUGCGCAAUGGGGGCAACCCUGACGCAGCCAUGCCGAAUGAAUGAAGAAGGCCUUCGGGUUGUAAAGUUCUUUCGGUAGCGAGGCGUUAACUACAGAAGAAGCACCGGCUAACUCCGUGCCAGCAGCAGCGGUAAUUC
rnacentral:rRNA from 1 species